AUAUCUCCCCUCUUCCGGUGGAUAGCUCCACCCGCGGGCCCCUCCCUCCGGCCAAGCAGACCGGCUCCUCCUAUCCAGCGGCUGCCUGCUCCAGCCUCUUCCCCUGCAACGACGUCUCCCCUUGCUGAGCUCCUCCGUCACCUGCCGUCGUCGCUUGAGUCGGGUCCUCCAUUGGCAUCGUGGACGCCGUUCACGCCCUACCGCCGUCGUCCACUCCAAUUUCCCCGGCGCGUUUUACUCACCGACGGCGGCCCCGACGACCAGCGAUUUUGGAGCGUCGCGUUGGGACUCCCAUGCCCUGCUAAUUCCUCACCCCCCACGCCCUCCUGCUAAUUUUCCACGCCUGCGCUUGGGAUUCCCUCUGUCGGCGCGCGAUAUGGCGCGGCUCACCGUGGAAACUCCGGCCCCGGCAGUACAAGACCGAAGCGGCGGGCACCACGAGCACUGAGGUGAACGACGGCAAUCCCGCCGGACGCUGAUGAUCCCCGCGGACUCCUGCCGUCCCGCGGCGUGUCGACGGCAGGAAGGUCUCCAUCGACGAAGGGGAGAUGUCGACGGAGGAGCUCGUGCGCGUCGUCUGGAGGAGGACGUACCUGAGCGCUUCUCCGCCAGGGCGGCCCCGUGCUUCCACAUGAAGAAGGAAUGGAAGGGCAUCAACCAGGACACCACGGUCGCAUGGGAGGUCGCCGCCGGUAACUGCCGUUUUACUGUGUUUCUCUGUGUGCUGGUUUGUUCCGAUGGAUUCAGUGUCCCGAUCAGCAGCGGCUCUCUGGGCAAGCUUCAUGGUCAGCUUGAACAGAAAUUAGUCCACCGACUAUUGGUUACUUUGGUUAUGAUUUAGUCUGUAUCUUCGCAGCUUCUUUUAAUGACCGGGCAAGGCUUUGCUUUUUUUUUCCCUCUCUCUGAUUGCUUACUGAUUUUGGUCCGUGCUGUCUAUUGAUUAAUAUAUUUAGGCAUGUUGCUGAUAUGCCAGGCCAAUCUGGGUUCCUCUGGUCUUCGGCAGACUUAAUUCGUAAUUCAAAGUAGAUCACCUGAUACAAAGUGAGUUGUCCCUGGUGGGAUUUAAUCUUUUUUUUUUUCUAUAUGACUAUCCUGAAAUAAUAUAAGCAUUUUUUCAAUUUUCAAGAAAUAGCAUCGGUGAUUCAUCCUGAUAGAAAUAGCACCAAUCAGAUAUUAAUCUAAUUUUUUUCGUAAACAUAGUGGAGAUGACAUUCUUAAAUGCAGGUGAAAGUUAGAGUAUUGAGGCUUGAAGAGCUGAAAGAAAUAUUAGCCUUUUCUGCUGGAAAGUAUGUUUCUAUUAUGUUUUUUCUGAUGAACAACACAUGGAGCAAGGUUAAAGAGGAUUGUUGAAUUUGAGAAGGGUCUUAAGGUUGGUUGGUUAUGCUACAUAUGUAGUUUAUGUAUCAACAGCAUCGUUGAUAACAUUCUUCAUUUUCAUAGGAAGUUGCUAUUCGAGAUGAGCAAACUGCUCUUAAUCGUGUUAUCUCAGGGCAUUUUACUGUUAUGCUGUUAGGUUACCUCCAACCCGAUUAGUGGCAGGUAGUUAGAAUUGAAUCUUAGAACUUCUGACAAUCUGAAUUUUUUUUACGACAAGACUAUCAGAUGAAUAAUCGAUGAUGCUACACAUUACCAAUGGUGAUAACAUGUGGCCAGGAUCAACUGUCCGAUCUUAUCCACAGGUCAAGUUAAAAAGGAACAAACAAUGUGGCUCUUCGCAAGAAUAUUUGUGUUGUGGCAACGAAAUAGUUUCCUUAAUUCUGCAAUAAACAACAGGCGGAGCCGGGCCAAACUGAGAGUGCACUCAGCAACAUAUCCAUCUGAAGUAGAGAGCGCAGCGGAUACACAGACUGAUCAUGUCGUCAGAUAGGCAAGAAGGUAUGAAGGCUAAGCUGCUGGUAUAAUAUGGGGACUAAUUGGUGCAGCGGAGUUGAUUUCGUACAAGUGACAUUGUCUUAUAUGUUCGGUGAGUGGAGGGCCAAAUCGGAAGAUUGUGAAGCAGAUACACAAACCAGCAUUUAGAGUAGAAUGAAGAGCUGAUGUGGUUUUCUCAAAGGUUCCAUAAGAGGGGUAUCAGGGAAGGAUGCAGUCUUUGCUGAUCUAUUCAUGUUUUAUAGGGCCAUCUGGAUCGCUCUGACGACAUGGGGUUUGCCAUUCUGAUUUGCCAGCUACUACUGAUUUUGCUAAACUAUGCGGUCGUUUUCGUCGGGCUUACCCGUUUAUCCAUUUUGCAGACCUGCUGGCCCGUGUCUUCCAAUGUCCUAUCGUCGGCACGUUGUAGCUGUUGAAUCAGCCAGCCGAUGGAUGUUCAGUUGCCUUUGUCUUCGAAAUUCUUUUGCAUGUUGAAAUAUCGUACUAAGGUGGUCCUCACCAUCCUUCAAGUUCUAGCUAUGAAGCAACAUGAUUCCUCCUUCGACAUGAAACCUGAUCGAACCCUCAAUUUGGUCUGACAGUGGUGGCUCCAGCUAUCGACUUCUUCGCCAAGGGCAGAAAUCAUCGUGGCUACCGACUUGUUCACCAGGGGCAUGAAAUUCAUCUUGCUUUUCUCCGACGAUGUGGACAACUGGUCGGACCACUGAUGCUCUUAAGAGCAAGAAGACCUUAGGCAGAUACGGAUGAAGCCCGGUGAUCAGGGGGGUACGUGAGCACCCCCUGACUACUCGACACGUGUCUAACGGCAUCCAAUAUUCCGUUAACACUCUAAGACACUUGAGGGGACACUGGAGCCUCCCGUGGCACGUUUUUUUUUUAUCCAGAAAUACAUAGCCCAAGAUUAUAUACAUAUUCAUACUAUUCUCA